UAUGUUAAGUUUGUUUAGGCAUAAAUCACUUUUUUAAAAAUAAUUGUUGGUUUAUUUUCUUUUUAUAACUUUGAGAUUUAUCCCUGCCUCAGGUGGAAGAUGCGCUGUCCUAUCUUGACCAGGUGAAGCUGCAGUUUGGUAGUCAGCCUCAGGUCUACAAUGAUUUCCUUGACAUCAUGAAGGAAUUUAAAUCUCAGAGCAUUGAUACUCCAGGAGUGAUUAGUCGUGUGUCCCAGCUGUUCAAAGGCCAUCCUGACUUGAUAAUGGGCUUUAACACAUUCUUGCCCCCUGGCUACAAAAUUGAGGUGCAGACUAAUGACAUGGUGAAUGUGACAACUCCUGGCCAA